rnacentral:rRNA from 1 species
GGUUUGUCAAGGACCUUGACCUAGUUUCCCGGGAACUUAGCAGGAAUCGGUGUGAUCAUAAAAAUGGAGGAUUUAGCCUUCCCAACCAUUCACCGUGGUCUGUGCAUAUCCCGUCUGUGGUAUCUAAGAGCCCAUUUUGUAAGGCAACCGUGGUGUUAGGCUCCCAAAUCAUAAGGGGCAUGAUGAUUUGACGUCAUCCCCACCUUCCUCCAGGUUAUCCCUGGCAGUCUCCCUAGAGUGCCCAGCUUUACCUGCUGGCUACUAAGGAUAAGGGUUGCGCUCGUUGCGGGACUUAACCCAACAUCUCACGACACGAGCUGACGACAUAAUGCACCAGCCUGUCGUCACGAGGUCCCGUUAACCGCUCUGUUCC